GGCAAGCAGUGGAGAAAGGCUCUUAAUAAAGCGAAAGGAACAUCAACUGUUGGGUGUGAUUCGCGUGGAAAGCGUGAAAGGGAAGAGAAAAGGCAUGGAACGAUAGACUUUCCCAUAACGAUUUCCAGCCCAGAAACCA